ACGAACGCUGGCGGCGUGCUUAACACCUGCAAGUCGCACGGAAAGGCCCUGCUUUUGUGGGGUGCUCGAGUGGCGAACGGGUGAGUAACACGUGAGUAACCUGCCCUUGACUUUGGGAUAACUUCAGGAAACUGGGGCUAAUACCGGAUAGGAGCUCCUGCUGCAUGGUGGGGGUUGGAAAGUUUCGGCGGUUGGGGAUGGACUCGCGGCUUAUCAGCUUGUUGGUGGGGUAGUGGCUACCAAGGCUUUGACGGGUAGCCGGCCUGAGAGGGUGACCGGCCACAUUGGGACUGAGAUACGGCCCAGACUCCUACGGGAGGCAGCAGUGGGGAAUAUUGCACAAUGGGCGGAAGCCUGAUGCAGCAACGCCGCGUGCGGGAUGACGGCCUUCGGGUUGUAAACCGCUUUCGCCUGUGACGAAGCGUGAGUGACGGUAAUGGGUAAAGAAGCACCGGCUAACUACGUG
rnacentral:rRNA from 1 species